ANGUGCGAUCAUACCCGCAGUAAUGCACCGGAUCCAUGAAAACUCCAUAGUUAAGCGUGCUUGGGCAAUANUCGUACUAGGAUGGGUGACCUCCUGGGAAGUCCUCGUGUUGCACCUC
rnacentral:rRNA from 2 species